GAAAGCAGUACAUAGAAGGCCAUUUCCUAAGAAUCAAGAAAAAUGGCUCCGUAACUGACUGCACCCCUCCGUUGACAGGUUUUGUCUUUUUGACUUCUCCUGAUACUCACUUUUCUAAUGUAAGAUAACCUUAAAAACAUGUCCCAUGCACCAGUAGAGUGGCCGAGCUUCCAGAACAAUGCAGGGGCUCGGAGCCUAUCACAGAUGCCCCAGCAGUUACACCGUCAUGCGCUUUAUGGUCUCAGGAAGUGACGAUGAGGAUUGUGAUUGACUAGUGUUUACUGAGCCUUGCUGAUUGGAUUUCUGCAUGGCUUAUUGAAGAGGCACUAAAAAUCACAUAGGGAACAGCCUGCGAGUUUCUGGUUUGAAAUGCUGCCUUAUGUGUAAUAGCAGUUAAUGAGGGUUUAUUAAAUCAAUCAAUCAACUAACCAUCAAUCACGGUCCUCUGACCCAGCCUGGCUUUUCAUGGACAUCCCCGCAUCUCUGUCAUAGCUGACAUUCUGAUCAAACAGAUGAGCGACCUUUCCUAACGACGCGUCAGAUCACCUUUGUCUAGAUUGGCUCUUCUUUGCAAAUCCUUUGGAAGUCCUCCUCCACCUGGUGAAAUUCUGCUCAUUCUUGAAAGCCAGCUCCAGUGUCAUAGCCUUGGGGCCUUUCCCUGUGUCUCCUCCUUCCCUUACUGUGUCCUGGAAUCCAGCCCCCGGGCUGCCUGAUGGAGGAAGGAGCCCCAUUUCCUGGUUUACAUGGGCUUCCAUGUCAGUGCUGGAAUACUGGAGAGCAUCCCCGUGUCAGGAACGCUGGAAUAGCGCUGAGCGUCCCUGUGUUGGGAACGCUGGAAUAGCGGUGAGCGUUACUGAGAAGUGAGUGUUCCCGUGUCGGGAACACUGGAAUACUAGUGAGUGUUCCCAUGUCGGCGCUUGAAUAGUGAGCGUCCCCAUAUCGGUGCCCCUUGUCCGUGCUGGAAUAGUGACCGUCACUGUGUCAGUGACCCGUGUCCGUGCUGGAAUAGUGAGCGUCCCCGUGUCGGUGCUGGAAUAGUGAACGUCCCCGUAUUAGCGCUGGAAUAGUGAGCAUCCCUGUAUCGGUGCUGCAAUAGUGAGCGUCCUCAUGUUGGUGCCCCGUAUCGGUGCUGGAACAGUGAGCGUCCCCGUGUCGGUGCCCCGUGUCGGUGCUGGAAUAGUGAGCGUCCCCGUGUCGGUGCUGGAAUAGUGAGCGUCCCCGUGUCGGUGCCCCGUGUCGGUGCUGGAAUAGUGAGUGUCCCCGUGUCGGUGCUGGAAUAGUGAGCGACCCCGUGUCGGUGCUGGAAUAGUGAGCGUCCCCAUGUCGGUGCCCCGUGUCGGUGCUGGAAUAGUGAGCGUCCCCAUGUCGGUGCCCCUUGUCGGUGCUGCAAUAGUGAGCGUCCCCGUGUCGGUGCUGGUAGAGUGGGCGUCCCCGUAUCGGUGCCCCUUGUCAGUGCUGGAAUAGUGAGCAUCCCCAUGUCGGUGCCCCUUGUCGGUGCUGGAAUAGUGAGCGUCCCCGUGUCGGUGCUGGAAUAGUGAUCGUCCCCGUGUCGGUGCUGAAAUAGUGAACGUCCCCGUGUCGGUGCUGGAAUAGUGAUCGUCCCCGUGUCGGUGCUGAAAUAGUGAACGUCCCCGUGUCGGUGCUGGAAUAGUGAGUGUCCCCGUGUCGGUGCCCCUUGUCGGUGCUGGAAUAGUGAGCGUCCCCGUGUCGGUGCCCCUUGUCGGUGCUGAAAUAGCGAGCGUCCCCACGUCGGUGCUGGAAUAGUGAGCAUCCCCGUGUCGGUGCUGGAAUAGUGAGCGUCCCCAUGUCGGUGCUGGAAUUGUGAACAUCCCCGUGUUGGUGCCCCUUGUCGGUGCUGCAAUAGUGAGCGUCCCCACGUCGGUGCUGGAAUAGUGAGCGUCCCCGUGUCGGUGCUGGAAUAGUGAGCGAGUGGGCU
rnacentral:lncRNA from 1 species